CGGGGGGCCCCAAACCUCCCAUCCGUGUCUAUUGUACCCUGUUGCUUCGGCGGGCCCGCCGCUUGUCGGCCGCCGGGGGGGCGCCUCUGCCCCCCGGGCCCGUGCCCGCCGGAGACCCCAACACGAACACUGUCUGAAAGCGUGCAGUCUGAGUUGAUUGAAUGCAAUCAGUUAAAACUUUCAACAAUGGAUCUCUUGGUUCCGGCAUCGAUGAAGAACGCAGCGAAAUGCGAUAACUAAUGUGAAUUGCAGAAUUCAGUGAAUCAUCGAGUCUUUGAACGCACAUUGCGCCCCCUGGUAUUCCGGGGGGCAUGCCUGUCCGAGCGUCAUUGCUGCCCUCAAGCCCGGCUUGUGUGUUGGGUCGCCGUCCCCCUCUCCGGGGGGACGGGCCCGAAAGGCAGCGGCGGCACCGCGUCCGAUCCUCGAGCGUAUGGGGCUUUGUCACAUGCUCUGUAGGAUUGGCCGGCGCCUGCCGACGUUUUCCAACCAUUCUUUCCAGGUUGACCUCGGAUCAGGUAGGGAUACCCGCUGAACUUAAGCAUAUCAAUAAGGCGAAAGGAA
rnacentral:rRNA from 1 species